UUCUAUGGCCAUGACACCCUGAACAAGCCUGAUGUCUGAUCUCAGAAGCUAAGUAGGGUCAGUCCUGGUUAGUACUUGGAUGGGAGGCCACCUAGAAAGACCAGGUGCUAUAGGCA
rnacentral:rRNA from 1 species